ACACGUGUUAGUAAAAAAUCCAAUCAAUCCAACCCUAAAUUCACAUUAUUUAUACCCACCUACCCCCAACUCCUAUUUUCACUUCACUCGCCGCUUUUCUUUCUAUCAAAUUACUCCCACAUUCAUGUCUCUUGCAUUUGCAUCAAAUGCAAUUUCACUCUCUUAUUCAAUCCUUCAAAUCCGUUCCAACUAUGAUAGGUAUUUUUUAUGCUUUGCUAAUUGGAUUCAAAUUAAGCCAUGGUUUCAUAUAUGGUUUUGUGUUUUCAUAAUUAUGUGUCACUAACAUGUGAUCGUUUUGUUGUUGUUUUCACAGCCAAGCCAUUGAAGAUUCUAUGAUUUGUUCCCGUGGAAUGUCUGUUGAGGAUGAUUAUGUUAUUAUAUCGGCGGUAAUUUCUUUGAUUAAACAACAUAUAAAGUCUCUGUCUUAACGGUGACGUUAAUUACUCUAGAUCUAUGAAAUCAGUUGGUUUCAUAGUUGUGUUAUUUUCUUGGAUAACAGUAAAAUCGUUAAAAUAAGAUGGUGUGAUGUUUUGAGUGAAAAUAAUGUUAUCUGUGAAGUUUCAAUAAUAUAUGCCCCAAACUUAAUUAGGCUUAGUGUACUAUUUUAUAUUUUAUAUUUGGAUGGAGGAGUUUGUAAUUUAAAAUAUAAUGAAUGAAUAAAGAUGUUUCUAUUUUGCAUUGCACCGGUUCUUGUUUGUUUUGUACUAUUAAUUUCACUAUUUUAGCGUAACGCCUAUGGAGUAAAUCGUUUAUUUUAAAUGGAUCGCCUAUGUAUAUACCAUAUUCUUGAUUAGUUGUAGUGCAAUUUAUUCAUUUUGAUAGAUGAAAUUGUAUUGCAUUUGUUGUGGAUUAUAUGUUAAUACAUAUAGUACGUAAUAGUCUUAAAAUAAAAUAAAAAAAGACACUCUAUAGUUUGUCUAAUGACUAAUGAGCAUUAUCUAAACGUGUAACCUUACAAUUUGAAUCUGGAGCAUUCAUCAUCUUAUUUCAUUUCUCAAUUAUCCCAUUUCAUGUUCAUUUUAUUUUGUACGAAGUUUUCACCACAAGUAAUUCAUCUCCGUCUAGGACAUAUCUCAUUUCAUAGUCAUAAACUUGUAUAUUAUUCCACUAAAUUAAGAAAACAUAAGUUCUUAGAGUUGUUAAAAAUUAAAACCAUCCAAAAAACAAUUAUGCAUUUUUUGAAUCAUUUUGUGUUGCGUUCGUUUCACUUCAUUUGUAUUCGUUGAAACAUUUAAUUUUGGUCAUAAACAUUGCGCUUUGGCCUUUGAAUUUAGUAGAUGAAAAUUCUGCGUUUUGGGGUUGAGUUUAAGAAAUUGGAUAAAAAUUUGAAAUUAGAAUAAAAACGCAAAAUCAUACAUAUAACGGUUCCGAGACCGAGUUUAUUAAAUUUUGAAUCUACAAAUGAAUUAUUUGUUUUUUCACAUAAAAAUAUAGAUUAACAUGUUUCUACAUAUUAAUACACAAAUUCGAUAGCUUAUACUAGUUGCAAGUGUAAUUGAGUUGUGGCUAGUAACGCAGUUUCUCAAUUUUAGCACUUUGUUGGUUACUUGAAAUAAGUCAUAAUGUUCGGUGGAGAAAAAAAUAAUUGAAUUGUGGCUAGUGAAAGACCUUAAUUUCUCCAUUUUAUCACUUUGUUGGUUACUUGAAAUAUAAACUAAACAGUGUCAGUGUCAUAAUCAGAUCAAUUAAACUGCAGCUAGAGUUUGCUUUGGGGCAUGAUUAGCAUCAACAUCAUUAUUUGUAGGUAUGCUUCAAAAAACCACAUCGUUCUAGAUACCAACUAUAAUAAUAAAUGAAAGAUUAGAUUAAAAUGGGGACAUUAAUAGAUUAUUUUUUUGUCAAGUAGUUUGUUGCUAGAAAAUCCACCAUCAAGGUGAAUAAUUAGAGUGUCUGAGGUUCGAACCUCGACUCCUAUACAUAUAAUGUGAUAUCCCUACCAAUUGAGCUAAACUCACGAAGAUAUAUUAAUAGAAAAAUAGAUACUUUAUCUGGUCUUAUAUAUAAACAAAUAUUAUUAUUUUUUGGAUUUAUUCAAUAACAUAUAGAUCUAUUUCAUAUUAUAGACAUUGAUGCAUCGAUUAUCAUUCAAUAAACUUAAAAAAUAAAUUUUGUUUAAAUAUAUAUGCUCAAUAUAUUCUUCUCAAGAUGAUUUACUAUUUCAUAUUAUAGACAUUGAUUCUAGAUCUGUUCAUGUCUCUUCAGAAAUUUACAUUCAUGUCUUUUCAGAUCUGUUCUAACUUCUAAUUAUGACUGGUGAUUUUUAUUCUUUGCUAAUUAGAUUCAAAUUAAGUCUUUUAUUUUGAUGAAUUAUAUUCAGAUCUAUGUUUAUAAUUAAUUAGUACUACUCCUUUUGGUUUGAUAUAUGGUUUUGUGUUUGAUUAAUAAUUAUGUGUCACUAACAUGUGAUUGUUUUGUUGUUGUUUUUACAGUGAAGCCGUUGAAGAUUUCUAUGAUUUGUUUCGAUGGAAUACCUGUUGAUGGUGAUUCUGUUAUUAUAUCAACUGUGGUUUCUUUGAUUAAACAACGUAUAAAGUCUUCGUCUUAAUGGUGACGUUAAUUAAUUACGUGAAGAAAACCAGACAUAGACCUAGAUUAUUAGGAAGACAUGUGUACAUCACAUGAUUUCGACUUGCUGGUAGUUUAUUUAUAUGGUUGUUCAAACAAUUAUGAAACAUUUAAUGAUAGAUGAAAACAAGGCUAAGAAUUACUAGCUGAAAAAGCUGAAAGGAAUUGCUCCGGUAUUAGUUUAGAGAAAUUGUCAAAUUGAAGAAGUCUUUGAAACUGUCCUUGCGGUUAGCGGGACAACCACUAGUGUUUUAGAGUCCAUAAAAAUAAUUAGUUGUGAUCUUUUGCUGAG
rnacentral:lncRNA from 1 species